GAUGAACGCUGGCGGUGUGCCUAACACAUGCAAGUCGAGCGAACAGACGAUGAGCUCGUUCUCUUGAGGUUAGCGGCGGACGGGCGAGUAAGACGUGGAUAACCUACUUAUAAGACUGGGAGAAUAUCGGGAAACCGGAGCUAAUACUGGAUAAUAUAAUGAACCGGAUGGUUCAAGAGUGAAUGACGGCUUUCGUGACACUAAUAGACGGUGUCGCGCUGCAUUAGCUAGUUGGUAAGGUAACGGCUUACCAAGGCGACGAUGCGUAGCCGACCUGAGAGGAUGAUCAGCCACACUGGAACUGAGACACGGUCCAGACUCCUACGGGAGGCAGCAGUAGGGAAUCUUCCACAAUGGGCGCAAGCCUGACGCAGCCACACCGCGUGGGUGAUGAAGGUCUUCGGGUCGUAAAGCCCUGUUAUUGGGAAAGAAAAAAAGUAUGUGUAUCUCUCCCCGUUUUGACGGUACCUAAACAAAAAGCCCCGGCUAACUUCGUG
rnacentral:rRNA from 1 species